UGGGGAAUAUUGCACAAUGGGCGCAAGCCUGAUGCAGCCAUGCCGCGUGUAUGAAGAAGGCCUUCGGGUUGUAAAGUACUUUCAGCGGGGAGGAAGGCGAUAAGGUUAAUAACCUUGUCGAUUGACGUUACCCGCAGAAGAAGCACCGGCUAACUCCGUGCCAGCAGCCGCGGUAAUACGGAGGGUGCAAGCGUUAAUCGGAAUUACUGGGCGUAAAGCGCACGCAGGCGGUCUGUCAAGUCGGAUGUGAAAUCCCCGGGCUAAACCUGGGAACUGCAUUAGAAACUGGCAGGCUAGAGUCUUGUAGAGGGGGGUAGAAUUCCAGGUGUAGCGGUGAAAUGCGUAGAGAUCUGGAGGAAUACCGGUGGCGAAGGCGGCCCCCUGGACAAAGACUGACGCUCAGGUGCGAAAGCGUGGGGAGCAAACA
rnacentral:rRNA from 1 species